CGUCACGGACCCGACCACUUGCCCGAUUCCCGGUCACGGCACCAACCCGAUUGCCAGUGGUUCGGGCGAUGU
rnacentral:sRNA from 1 species